UGUGCUUCCCUCCCUCCAACACAUCCCCGGGGCCUUACUGGCCUCCUGGCAGUUUGAUCCUACACCGCUUUUCUCUUAGCAUGAAGGUAAGACUCAUAUCUGUGUCCUCUCCUGUGAAAUGGAGAAGAGAAAUAAUCAUAUUUUCUACAGAAGGAUGCUGGAAGAGUUAAAUAGAAAUGCUUGUGUGGCUAGGAGUGGCGGCUUACACCUGCAAUCCCAGCAUUUUGGGAGGCCGAGAUGGGAGGAUUGCUUGAGCUCAGGAGUUUGAGACUAGCCUGGGUAACACAGGGAGAUGCUGUCUCUACAAAAAGUUAAAAAAAAAAAAAAAAUUAACUGGGUGUGUGGCACAUACUUGCAGUCCUAGCUACCAGGGAGCUCAGGUGGGAAGAUCACUUGAGCCCGGGUGGUCUAAGGCUACAGUAAGCUGUGAUCACACUACUGCACUCCAGCCAGGGUGACAGAGCAAAACCCUGUCUUAAAAAAAAAAAAAAAAAAAAAAAAAAAGAGAAAAGGCCGGGCAUGGGGCAUGGUGACUCAUGCCUGUAAUCCUAGCACUUUGGGAGGCUUGGACGGGCAGAUCGCCUGAGUUAGGAGUUUGAGACCAGUCUGGGCAACAUGGUAAAACUCCGUCUCCACUAAAAAUGUAAAAAUUAACCAGACCUGAUGCCGCAAUCCUGUAGUCCUAGCUACUGAGGGAGGCUGAGGCAGGAGAAUCACUUGAACCCGGGAGGCCGAGGUUGCAGUGAGCCGAGAUUGCGCCACGGUACUCCAGCCUGGGUGACAGAGCAAGAUUCUGCCUCAAAAAAAAAAAAUAAUAAUAAUAAAUAAUAAUAAUAAUAAAGGAAAUGCUUGUGGAAGUGUUUUGUAAAUUGUGCAUAGACAAGCCACUGGUGCAUCUACCAUGUUAUUCAUUCUUUCCACAGAACCCUAGUAAGUGUCACUGUGUGUAACAGCAAGUACUGUAAGCACUCGGAAUCCCACGAGGCAUGAAAUAUACUAACAAGGAAGACGGAGAAGUAGACAGCGCCCAGGGCCCUAAGAAGAUCUCAGGAAAAUCAUUUAGAGCGGCUCAGAACAAGAGGUACAUUCACAAGGAUGGCUACCAAGAUUUCAAGCCUGAUACAUUUGUAAAAAUAGCUCUCAUGCUUCUGCUUCUCACUUUUUUGUGUUUUCC
rnacentral:lncRNA from 13 species